rnacentral:rRNA from 1 species
AUUGAACGCUGGCGGCAGGCCUAACACAUGCAAGUCGAGCGGAGCGGCGGACGGGUGAGUAAUGUCUAGGAAUCUGCCUGGUAGUGGGGGAUAACGUCCGGAAACGGGCGCUAAUACCGCAUACUAUCAGAUGAGCCUAGGACGGAUUAGCUCGUUGGUGGGGUACAGGCCGACCAAGGCGACGAUCCGUAUCUGGUCUGAGAGGAUGUUCAGUCACACUGGAACUGGGACACGGUCCAGACGCCGACGGGAGGCAGCAGUGGGGAAUAUUGGACAAUGGGCGAAAGCCUGAUCCAGCCAUGCCGCGUGUGUGAAGAAGGUCUUCGGAUUGUAAAGCACUUUAAGUUGGGAGGCGUUACCAACAGAAUAAGCACCGGCUAACUUCGUGCCAGCCGCCGCGGUAAUAC